GGUUUCAUGGUAGAGUUGGUUAUCACAUCUGUCUAACACUGGUGGUCCCCGGUUCGAGUAUGGGUCAAAUCA